rfam:Schistosoma haematobium scaffold242_5, whole genome shotgun sequence.
AUCCAGCUGACGAGACCCAAAUAGGACGAAACGCGCGUCCUGGAU